rnacentral:rRNA from 1 species
AUGGACGCCAUGGAGAGAGGCCAGCGCGCGACGCUCCUGCCCGAGAGUCAUGGCCCAAAGGUUCAAGAGGAUGACAGCCUGCAGCUGCAGGUGCCACUCCUCAAGCAUAAGAAGCGGGGCGGCAGCAAGGCGCCGGCAGUAAUUCUAUUGUUCGAAUGCCUGGAGAGCACGGCGUUCAAUGGCAUCUCCACCAACCUGGUGGUGUACCUGGAGACCGUCCUCCACGGCACCAACCUCACCAGCGCAUCCAACGUCGCCACCUGGUUCGGCACCAGCUACCUCACCCCCGUCUUCGGCGCCGUCAUCGCCGACUCCUUCUGGGGCAACUACAACACCAUCCUCGUCUCCCUCGUCGUGUACCUCCUCGGCAUGAUGCUCGUCACCUUCUCUGCGUUCACCGUGGCUUUCGCGGGGCUGUACCUCGUGGCGAUCGGGUGCGGCGGGGUGCGCUCGUCGCUGCUGCCGUUCGGAGCGGAGCAGUUCGACGACGACAGCGCGACGGACCGGGAGGGCAAGGCGUCCUUCUUCAGCUGGUUCUACCUCUGCGUGAGCUUCGGCCCCAUCAUCUCCGGCGUGUUCCUUGUCUGGAUCCAGCAGAACGUCAGCUGGGGCCUCGGCUUCGGCAUCGCCACCGCCUGCAUCGCGCUCGCCUUCGCCGCCUUCGUGCUCGCCACGCCUAUGUACAAGCGCCGCAUGCCCGCCGGCACCCCGCUCAAGAGCCUCUGCCAGGUCGUCGCUGCCGCGUGCAAGAAGAUCAGCGUCAACGUGCCCGCCGAAGCCGGACACCUCUACGAGGUCAGCGAUAAGAUCGACUCGCCCCAGCCCAAGAUCGCGCACACAAGCGACUUCAAGUUCCUCGACAAGGCGGCCAUCGUCACGGAGUCGGACAUGGAGGAGAGGCCGGAGGCGGCGACCUCGUGGAAGCUCUGCACGGUGACUCAGGUGGAGGAGCUCAAGAUCCUGCUCCGCCUGCUUCCCGUAUGGAUCACCAGCGUCGUCGUGUCAUCGGCAUUCUCGCAGAUGAACACCACGUUCGUGCAGCAGGGCAGUGCCAUGGAAAUGACCAUCCUGUCGGUGCCGGUGCCCGCGGCGUCGCUGGCCUCCUUCGAGGUGAUCUGCGUCAUGACAUGGGUGCUCCUCUACACCAAGGUGAUCGUGCCGGCGUUGAGGAGCUUCUCCUCGAGCGGUGACGGCGAGCCGUCGCAGCUGCAGCGGAUGGGUGCCGGGCGGCUCCUCAUGGCGCUCACCAUGGCGGUGGCAGCGCUCGUGGAAAUGAAGCGGCUCGACAGCACUUCUUCCUUGCCGGCGGGGAGGUGUUCUGCUACAUCGCGCAGCUGGAGUUCUUCUUCGGCGAGGCGCCGGACACCAUGA